CAAUAGCAUAUACGAAUAUUGCUGCAGUUAAAACGCUCGUAGUCGAAAACACUGUCGGAGACUUCUGAAACAUUUGGGACAGAAGCUCGACAACGACUCAGUCAGCCUGGUCCACUCUCACCCAGGGAAAACACUGACAGAGGGUAAGGCGAAGAGAUUCGGGCCGGCUUCGACCGGAGUUUUCCUAGUAGCCAAAUUACCUUGAAUAAAUCAAAGUUCUCAAAGCAGAUCUUGUGAUCUUCUAUGAAUGAUUAAGCAUGGGAUAGUAAGUUAUCGUCGCAGAACCUUGUUCUGGAUGGGUUCACUAUAUCCCGUCACUGCCUCGGUUAAUAGGAGCAGUCGGGGGCAUUAGUAUUGGUUGGCGAGAGGUGAAAUUCUUAGACCCUACCAAGACUCACUAUAGCGAAAGCAUUUGCCAAGGAUGUUUUCAUUGA
rnacentral:rRNA from 1 species